rnacentral:lncRNA from 1 species
GCUAGCUAAUAUUAUGAUUAAUUUAGUAUAUAUAUAUGUAAAGCAAUUUAGUUUCGAAAAUGUAUUUUACAAGUCGCAGGCAUCCCCGGCCCUGGUUUGCCAUUCAAUUCCAAAUGCCACGCGGAAAAUUAACUCUCUUCCUGCGACCCGGCCGUUAAACAUAAAGUUGAAUUGCUUAAAGGAGCCAUUAGUUAUAGAGGGAAGAAAAAGGUUGCCUUCAAGUGCACCCCCUAUUGUAGCUUAUUUAAAAGUACCACGUACCCCUCCUCUCUCUCAAAUUAUCUUUACUUGAAGCCUAAAAGCGUUUAAUUGAAAUUCUAUGUAAUCCCUUAUGAUUGUAAAAGGAAAAGAAAGAAAGGAAGGAAAAAAGAAAAGUAAAAAGAUACUACUAGCUAGUUCUGCGGGUGCGCAAAUAAAACAACGAAGCUAACGAGUUAAGACAGGAAGAGGCCAGCACAUAUAUAUAUAUAUAUAUGCAGACAAACUACAGUUGUUGGCCUCCGUCAGAAUAACAUCCGUCUCCCGAUGCAUGCAUAUAUAUAUAUAUAUAUAUAUAUAUAUAUAUAUAUAUAUAUAUAUAUAUAUGAGCUAGACUACUAUACUAUCUAUAGUACCGAGCUUCGGUACUAUAGUGUUGGUUUUCGAUCUUAGAACGUUCAAAUCAACGAUCCACACCGUUAAAACUGAUCUAGGGUAUUUAAAGUUUCUAAAAAUAAAAUUUUAUAUUUUUUCGACAUAGUUUAUUUUAUGAUCAAACUAUUUCAAAAUUGUCAAAUUUCAAUGGCUAUUAUGACGAGUUUGGAGUUUAACAGUGUAGAAGAAUCUAAAUUUCUUCAAAUUUUGAUAGAAAAUACUUUAAACUAUAUAGAUUAAGGUUAA